UAACUACGUGCCAGCAGCCGCGGUAAUACAGAGGGUGCAAGCGUUAAUCGGAAUUACUGGGCGUAAAGCGAGCGUAGGUGGCUUGAUAAGUCAGAUGUGAAAUCCCCGGGCUUAACCUGGGAACUGCAUCUGAUACUGUUAGGCUAGAGUAGGUGAGAGGAAGGUAGAAUUCCAGGUGUAGCGGUGAAAUGCGUAGAGAUCUGGAGGAAUACCGAUGGCGAAGGCAGCCUUCUGGCAUCAUACUGACACUGAGGCUCGAAAGCGUGGGUAGCAAACAGGAUUAGAUACCCUGGUAGUCCACGCCGUAAACGAUGUCUACUAGUCGUUGGGUCCCUUGAGGACUUAGUGACGCAGCUAACGCAAUAAGUAGACCGCCUGGGGAGUACGACCGCAAGGUUAA
rnacentral:rRNA from 1 species